GGUUGGCCAAAAAGUUCGUUCAGGUUUUUCCAUAAGAUUAUGGAAAAACCCAAAACAACUUUUUGGCCAGCCCAA
rnacentral:miRNA from 1 species